CUGUGCCGCUUCUCCCUGUGAUGUGAGAGGGUCUGGAAGGCCCUGCAAGAAGUCUGGUCCUAACCAGGGAAGCGUAGAAGCAUUACCCAGACAGACUGAGCAUUUGUCACCUGGGCUUUCUACAGAUGACAUAGGCAGUGGAAGUCAGCAUCGCAAGCAUCCGUGAGAGCCCUGCAAAAGACUGUUUGCUGUCGAGCAGAUUGAGGUGGAAGUCAAAGACUCAAA